rnacentral:rRNA from 1 species
GAUGAACGCUGGCGGCGUGCCUAAUACAUGCAAGUCGAGCGAACAGACGAGGAGCUUGCUCCUCUGACGUUAGCGGCGGACGGGUGAGUAACACGUGGAUAACCUACCUAUAAGACUGGGAUAAAUUCGGGAAACCGGAGCUAAUACCGGAUAAUAUAUUGAACCGCAUGGUUCAAUAGUGAAAGACGGCUUUGCUGUCACUUAUAGAUGGAUCCGCGCCGCAUUAGCUAGUUGGUAAGGUAACGGCUUACCAAGGCAACGAUGCGUAGCCGACCUGAGAGGGUGAUCGGCCACACUGGAACUGAGACACGGUCCAGACUCCUACGGGAGGCAGCAGUAGGGAAUCUUCCGCAAUGGGCGAAAGCCUGACGGAGCAACGCCGCGUGAGUGAUGAAGGUCUUCGGAUCGUAAAACUCUGUUAUUAGGGAAGAACAAAUGUGUAAGUAACUAUGCACGUCUUGACGGUACCUAAUCAGAAAGCCACGGCUAACUACGUG